rnacentral:lncRNA from 1 species
CUCUGUUGCCCAGGCUGGAGUGCAGUGGUUGCAGUGAGCCAAGAUCGCACCACAGCACUCCAGCCUGGGCAACAGAGUGAGACCCUGUGUUAAGAAAAGAAAAGAGAAAAGAAGAAAAGAAAAGAAAAAGGAAAAGGAAGGAAGGAAGGAAAGAGAGAAAAGAAGAGAAACAGGUGAAAUGAAUUGGAAUAAUAUAUUUUAUUUAACCCAGCAUAUCCAAAAUCCUAUCAUUUUAACAAGUACAACUACCCUAUUUCCCUCAGAAUGUAGCAUUGCCUCUGGUUUGCUGUGGAUCCUGUAUUGGACCACUCAGCUGUAGAGUCCUGUGGGAUCCAAGCUUCAAGGAGACCCAUCAUGCAUGUUUAGGGCCAGUUCCAGGUGUCCUUGACAUGACACUAAACCUCCAUUUCCUUUGUUUUGGAGACGGAGUCUGGCUCUGUCGCCCAGGUUGGAGUGCCAUGGUACGACCUUGGCUCACUGCAACCUCCGCCUCCCGGAUUAAAGCGAUUCUCCUGCCUCAGCCUCUCAAGUAGCUGGCAUUAUAGGCGUGUGCCACCAUGCCCGGCUAAUUUUUGUAUUUUGUAGUAGAGACAGGGUUUUGCCAUGUUGGCCAGGCUGGUCUUCAACUCCUGACCUCAAGUGAUCCGCCCACCUCGGACUCCCAAAGUGCUGGGAUUACAGGCGUGAGCCACCUCGCCUGGCCCUCCAUUUCCUGAUCUAGUCUUAUAUCCACGCUCACCACCUCAGCACGCUCAGACCCACGCUGCUGUGGGCUCCUCUGGCUCCUGGAAGAGUGCGUCCGCAGAUGCUGCAGUCUUUGUGUGGCUCAGCAAUUGCCACUCACAUCAGGAACUGCCUUUACCCUGUCAGGCUCUACUGAGACCCGACCCUGGUUAUUAAGCUAUAGGGGAGACAAGGAUGGAUCUUAAAGAAGACAAGCAAAAUGUAGUGAAGCAAAUAGAAUGGUGGUUCCUGGGGGAUGGGGGCAGGGGACAACGAGGAGUGACUGGCUAACAGAUACAGCGUUUCAGUUUGGAAAGACAAAAAAGUUCUGGAAAAAAGAUGGAAGGUGGUGAUGGUUGCACAAUAAUAUGAGUUUUGUUGUUGUUGUUUUUUGAGACAGAGUCUCUCUCUGUUGCCCAGGCUGGAGUGCAGGGGCACGAUUUCGGCUCACUGCAACCUCUGCCUCCCGGGUUCAAGCGAUUCUUGUGCCUCAGCCUCCCAAGUAGCUGGGAUUACAGGCACCCACCACCAUGCCCAGCUAAUUUUUGUAUUUUUAGUAAAGAUGAGGUUUCACCAUGUUGGCCAGGCUGGUCUCAAACUCCUGACCUCAAAUGAUUGGCCUGCCUUGGCCUCCCAAAGUGCUGGGAUUACAGGCAUGAGCUAUUGCGCCCGGCAAUAUGAAUGAAUGUUUUUAAUACCAUUGAAUUACACACCUAAAAUUGGUUAAAAUGGUAAAAAAUUUUAUGUUAUGUAUAACUUACCACAAUAAUUUAAAAAAUAUUGUGAAGCGCCUGCCUCAUGUGAGGUCUUCUAAUAAGAGGGGCUGUUCUCCUUCUCAAGAGCGCUCGCGGGCAUUGGGAGUUUCUUAUUCUCAAAUGUCCACAUCCCAAGGCCUACCCCGUCCCUGUCAGUGUCAGAAGUUAGCAGAGCAGAACUGCUAGAUGUGCUCACUCCAUCUCCUCCAUGGUUGGCCCACCCUUUCGAUCAGAUCCUGGAAUUGGCUUUCAGCACAGCCUUCCAGCUGGCUGUGAUAAAUGAGAGUGGCUUAAACCCUGUCAUCAGGGUUUCACAGCUUGCCCUGAACCGUAGCCUCUCAUUUUCUCCUUGCAAAUCUUCUAAGGCAGCUAAGAGAAGCCAAUUAACUUCACAAUCCACAUAAUUAGCAUUGCCCCAAACCUUUCAAGUGCUGGAAUGCUGGCGUCCACUAGUGCCUCAUUUCUUUCUAAACCUCAUUCCACAUGGCAGGGGAAGGUCUUAGGAAUUGUGGAGCUGUGGCGUUCUAAGGGUUCUCACUGCCUACCUAUCACCAGCAAGGGAGUCCUUGUUGCCAUCCAUCCCUAGGGGGUAAUUUUGUUCCCUGAGGCUGCUUUCUAGGGACUUCUGGUCGCUUGUUUUAUCCUGGACCAGACCUGAAAGCAGAGCCUGAAAUAAGGCCUUCUAUGCACAUCAUUUAUGUAGGAGGUGGCCCUAGGAAGCAGGCCCAAUGCGCCAUGGGAAAAACCAGUACCAGGGUGUUUUGCUGAGUUGAGCACUGUGGUGGGCAGCUGGACAUGAGCCCACUGGAAUCUUCUGAAGAGCCCAAGAGCCUCUUCUCAGUAUUGUCCACUUGAGGAUUGAUAGUGAGAGGCAUUUAUCCACUGGUGUCCAACGCUCACUGGUUGAGGAUCACCCCAGAAAGCGACACCUCCCCCACUUCUAGACUAGCAUGUGGGUAUUCCAAGCAGGCUUACCUCAGUGUCUCACCCCAGGCACUGCAAACACCCCAGGACAGAAAGUGAACAUGUGUAUUGUGCAAUUGAAGCAAGACACUAUCAGUGCAAAGUGAGUAGACCCUCAGAUGCUGCUGGGUCAGAGGGAAGGCCCAGGGAUAUGACACAGGACACAGAGGUGGCAGAUACACCACCUCCCAACAUUUCCUCUAUCACAGCAACUAGAACAAUGGCAACAAUAGGGGUGGGUGUGGUGGCUCACGCCUAUAAUCCCAAUACCCUGGGAGGCCAAGGCAGAAGGAUUGCUUGAGCCCAGGAGUUCAAGACUAGCCUGGGCAACUUGGCGAAACCCUGUCUCUACAAACAUAUUUGUAUGUGAUUGAACAAGUAGAACAAUGGAACGGAAAGUCCAGAUGUAGUUCUAAAUAUGUACAGGAACUUAGUAUAGGAUAAAUAUGGCAUCUUAAAUCAAUGGGGAAAAGAUGGAUUAUUCAACAUAUUGUAAAAACUUGAGAAUCACAUUAAAAAAGUUGGACUCCUACCUCAUUCUUUACAACAAAAUUAAUUCUGAUAGAUGUAGUCACAGAAGAGCUAGAAGAAUAUGCAGGGGAUUUAAAAAUAAUCUUGAAGUGGGGAGGACUUUUAUAGGUAUGACUCACAACCCAGAAAACAUAAAGGAUUGUUAAAUUUAAUUAGAUAAAUCAUUUAAUUAGAUGAAACAUUUAAAAAUUACAUUUAGAAAUCAUAAACUAAAUCCAAAGAAUAACUAGGGGCCGGGCGCAGUGGCUCACGUCUGUAAUCCCAUGGGGCAGGUGGAUCACCUGAGGUUGGGAGUUUGAGACCAGCCUGUCCAACACGGUGAAACCCCGUCUCUACUAAAAAUACAAAAAUUAGUUGGUGUGGUGGCACAUACCUGUAGUCCCUGCUACUGGGGAGGCUGAGGCAUGAGAAUUGCUUGAACCUGGGAGGUGGAGGUUGCAGUGAGCCAAGAUCGCGCCACUGCAUUCCAGCCUGGGCGACAGAGCAAGACUCCAUCUCAAAAAAAAAAAAAAAAAAAAAAAAAAAAAAAAGAAUAACUAGGGAGAAAACACCAUGAUGUGUUGCAUAAUAACAUUUCAGUCAUUCAUGGACCAAAUAUAAAAUGGGGUCCCAAAAAACUAUAAUACCGUGUUUUUACUGUACCUUUUCUAUGUUUAGACACAUUUAGAUACACAAAUACUUACCAUUGUGCUACAAUUGCCUAGUGUUCAGUAGCAUGCUGUACAGGUUUAUCCCUAGGAAGAAUAGACUAUCCCACACACCCUAGGCGUGUAGCAGGCUAUGCCAUCUAGGUUUGUGUGAGUACACUCUAUGCUGUUCAAACAGUGACCUCCACUGUUAGGUGAAGCAUGACUGUAUUUUGAGCCCAGGUCUCAGAUAUUGUAUGAAGUUUCAUAAUAUUAUGAGCUUUUACAAAUCAUUAAGAGAAAGACCAAUAAUCCAGUAGAAAACUGGGAAAAGGUGGCAUCUGCAGGGUAACACCAGGGCAGCACAGAAAUCUUGCUGGGAUGAGGAGCUGCAAACAUGUGUGGUCGACUUUUUGGCCUUCUGCCUCUUCUACUCUCAGGGAUGGGGGAUUACAACUAAAGAAGUUGUCUUUUGGCCGGGCGUGGUGGCUCACGCCUGUAAUCCCAGCACUUUGGGAGGCCGAGGCGGGUGGAUCACAAGGUCAGGAGAUCAAGACCAUCCUGGCUAACACGAUGAAACCCCGUCUCUACUAAAAAAUUCAAAAACAUUGGCCGGGCGAGGUGGCGGGCACCUGUAGUCCCAGCUACUCGGGAGGCUGAGGCAGAAGAAUUGUGUGAACCCGGGAGGCGGAGCUUGCAGUGAGCCCAGAUCGCGCCACUGCACUCCAGCCUGGGCGACAGAGGAAGGCUCCGUCUCAAAAAAAAAAAAAAAAGAAGAAGUUAUCUUUUCUCAGUGUUGCUUCUCCCUAAGGAUUUAAAGGGGAGACCUGGCCAGAGGAAUCAUCAACAGUGGAUUUGUGAUGACUGGAGUUCAUUUCCUUCUUUCUCAACUGUCCUGGAAGGAAAUGGACUAGUGCCUUACCUCUGACUCUUCCGCAGCACACACCCACCACCAGAGACAGUAACUGAGAUCUGCAGUAGCACAGAAACUUACAGGUUAGAAAAAUUAGACACCUAAGGAUUUCAUGACUCCAGACCUGUUUCCUUAGCAUAAUACCACACCAGUAGGAGAAAUACAACUUACGAAAUUUCUUUGUAAAUAAAUUCUAUAACAUUUUGGGUAAAAAUUUAUCAUAAAAAAAUUAUUAAAAGCAAUUGGGUUGGAAGGAAGUUCUGUCAAAAUACAAUCCAGGUGUGCAGUUCUCUGAUAAAUUUAGCAGUGGUUACUACUGAGGCAGUCUCAAAAAAAAGUGUAAAAGGACUUUAAGGGGUGAUGAAAAUUUUCUACAUUGCCUUUGUGGAGAUGGUUAUACAUUUGUCAAUACUCAUCAAUUUGUACAUUUAAAAGAGGUAAAUUUAUUGUAUGUAAAUUGUAUCUUAAUAAAACUGAUUAAAACAGACAUACAAACCCCA